rnacentral:rRNA from 1 species
GACGAACGCUAGCGGCGUGCCUAAGAAAUGCAAGUCGAGCGAAGAUGAGGAGCUUGCUCCGAAGUCUUAGCGGCGAACGGUCGCGUAACACGUAAGCAACCUGCCCUGAAGUGGGGGAUAGCCUUCCGAAAGGAAGAUUAAUACCGCAUGUGGAUAUCUGUUUGCAUGUAUGGAUAUCUAAAACAGCAAUGUGCUUCAGGAUGGGCUUGCGGCCUAUCAGCUAGUUGGUGUGGGUAACGGCCCACCAAGGCGACGACGGGUAGCUGGUCUGAGAGGAUGGUCAGCCGGACUGGGACUGAGAUACGGCCCAGACUCCUACGGGAGGCAG